CAUGCAGUCGAGGGGUAGAAUAGCUUGCUAUUUUGAGACCGGCGCACGGGUGCGUAACGCGUAUGCAAUCUGCCUUUUACAGGGGAAUAGCCCAGAGAAAUUUGGAUUAAUGCCCCAUAGCACUGCAGGACGGCAUCGUCCAGCAGUUAAAGUCACAACGGUAAAAGAUGAGCAUGCGUCCCAUUAGCUAGUUGGUAAGGUAACGGUUUACCAAGGCGAUGAUGGGUAGGGGUCCUGAGAGGGAGAUCCCCCACACUGGUACUGAGACACGGACCAGACUCCUACGGGAGGCAGCAGUGAGGAAUAUUGGACAAUGGGCGCAAGCCUGAUCCAGCCAUGCCGCGUGCAGGAUGAAGCAUCUAUGGUGUGUAAACUGCUUUUAUACAGGAAGAAACCCUGGGACGUGUCCCAGACUGACGGUACUGUAGGAAUAAGGACCGGCUAACUCCGUGCCAGCAGCCGCGGUAAUACGGAGGGUCCGAGCGUUAUCCGGAAUCAUUGGGUUUAAAGGGUCCGUAGGCGGCCCUGUAAGUCAGUGGUGAAAUCUCCCGGCUCAACCGGGAAAUUGCCAUUGAUACUGCAGGGCUUGAAUUAUUGGGAAGUAACUAGAAUAUGUAGUGUAGCGGUGAAAUGCUUAGAUAUUACAUGGAAUACCGAUUGCGAAGGCAGGUUACUACCGGUGGAUUGACGCUGAUGGACGAAAGCGUGGGUAGCGAACAGGAUUAGAUACCCUGGUAGUCCACGCCGUAAACGAUGGAUACUAGCUGUUCGGUCGCAAGACUGAGUGGCUAAGCGAAAGUGAUAAGUAUCCCACCUGGGGAGUACGUUCGCAAGAAUGAAACUCAAAGGAAUUGACGGGGGCCCGCACAAGC
rnacentral:rRNA from 1 species